rnacentral:lncRNA from 1 species
GAAAUAACAAUUUAUCACACCUAAGCUAAAUUUUAAAAGCUCUUCGUUUUUAUGCUUGUAUGCUCGUCAAAAUUGUAUCGCAUAUUUUAUGGGAAUUCAUCAAACCUCUCGAGCUAUUAAGGAAGAAUCUAAUGCAAUCGCAGAUUUAAGGACAAAAGAUAUUAAAAUGCCUUAAAGUGAAAAUAUGUAUCUCGCUUUCCAAGGGUUAUUGGAGCGUCCUCUAUUUUGUCGAAAGCCGUAUUUUUCAAUGAAUACUUAACAAGUUAAAAAUUAUGUACAUUGUUGCCAAUAGGUAACUUAAGUAUUUUAGAAAACGUCUCUGUACGGCUUCGAGGGCGUUAAUGUGGUUAGCCGAGAAUGGAGACCAUACGAUAGAUGCAUAUUCAAGCUUGGAUCUAACAGAACUGAUAACAAAUCCAAGCAUCUUUAUCGCUGAGUCUGUUAAUUGACAAAUAUGCAAAGCAAAAAAUCCAUACAUGUUGAGUAAGACAUGACGCUAAUUUGGAUACAUUAAGGGGAGGUCGCAUUCUACCAUACCAUGCAGUUAUAUCAUCAAGAGACCGCUGAAGACGAAGCUAGUCAUCAAGAGAGGUUACCCUACAGAAUGGCUUCAUGUCGUCCAACUAUGAAAUUAUAUUAACAGCAACAAUGUCAUUUAUUGUUGUCACAAAGAGCAGCGUGGGCUGACCACAACACUUCACUCUCAGGGAUCUGCGUGAUAGGUAGGAGCUAAUGAACAUUGCAGGGCCAUGAACAAGACAUGAUAUUAGAGCACCACCCAGCAUGAUCCAACACAUCAAACGGCUGGGAAAAAAUCCGUAUAUAUUACAUCAACUUGAGAUCUACCAUUAAAUGUAUUCAAAAUGAAUUAAGUAAUAAAAUUAUGUUGGAAACUGUG